rnacentral:rRNA from 1 species
CCUACGGGAGGCAGCAGUGAGGAAUAUUGGUCAAUGGGCGAGAGCCUGAACCAGCCAAGUCGCGUGAGGGAGUACUGCCCUAUGGGUUGUAAACCUCUUUUGUCGGGGAGCAAAAGCCGGACGUGUCCGGCAGUGAGAGUACCCGAAGAAAAAGCAUCGGCUAACUCCGUGCCAGCAGCCGCGGUAAUACGGAGGAUGCGAGCGUUAGCCGGAUUUAUUGGGUUAAAAGGGUGAGCAGGCGGAUUUUUAAGUCAGCGGUAAAAUCGUGGGGCUCAACCCCCUCCAGCCGUUGAAACUGGGGAUCUUGAGUGUGCGAGAGGUAUGCGGAAUGCGUGGUGUAGCGGUGAAAUGCAUAGAUAUCACGCAGAACCCCGAUUGCGAAGGCAGCAUACCGGUGCACAACUGACGCUCAGGCACGAAAGCGUGGGUAUCGAACAGGAUUAGAUACCCUAGUAGUC